rnacentral:lncRNA from 1 species
ACAUUUUCAAUAGAUGAAUCUGAAUUUUGUUUUGCAGGUCUAUUAUUAUUGAACUUAUUUUGUUUUAAAAUAUAGGAAAAAUAAUUUUAUCCGGGGUCCCUACGGGUAGGAACCCUUAGUAUUAAGCCUAGGUUAGUCUAAGCAAUAAUUCCCAUUUCAUUUUAUUGGUUGACCAUUUAAAAAAAUACAAUAAGAGAAUUUUUUAUAUAAUAAUCUAUAAAAUUCAGUAAGCAUUAUUGAGCCGAUUCCGAUAACUGAUUCUGAUACUUCAAAAGAGGCCAAUUCUUGCCGAUUUCGAUGCAUUAGUAUACCCCUAGUAAAAUAUUUUAUCUUGGAGUUGUCCAAGGCACAAAUCUAUAUUAAUAAAGCCCAAAUUAUCAUAUUGGGAGCUCCUAUCAAUGACAAUGUAUGUAAGUAUAAAUUUAUAUUAAAACCAUUUCUCAAUCAGGGCAAAGGAGGAUGAUCGCAAGAUCAACGAGACAGGUGGUCUAGUCAGUCUCCUCAAAGACAAGGAAAUCAAGUCCUUCCGUGAUAAAAGAGUAGUAGUUGUCCUUGUAAAUCCGCCCAUUGAAACGGAUACGGUUGAAGUUUCGGACUUAAAAGACAUAGAGGAUAACCUAAUCGAAUCUUUCAAAAGCCAUACACAAAGGAAUAAAUUUCAUUUCUCAAUGAGUCUCCAAAACAAUAGUGAUGUGGAACUUAUAAAUUUAUAUUCGUGAAUGAGACAAUAAGAGAUCAUUAAUUUUUGAUUAAUUUACUUUUAUUAAUGAAUUUCAAAACAUUUAUACAUUAAAACAUUUUAUGUACUUUCGGAAAUAUAAGAUCG